UUUCAUUUCACAAAACCCAUUUUAUUCUAAAACUCAAUUUCAUCCAUCGAUCAACUCAUCGAAACUCAUUUCACCGAAACCCAAAAUCAUCCAUCGAUCAACUCAUCGCAUGCACCCUUCUCUCAUUGCACAACUCAUUUCAGCGAAACUCUUACUCUCAUCGCAUAGCUCAUUCGCUCAUUUCACAGCUUAACGACGUGCACGAUGAAGAAACCUGACUAAUUGGUUGCGAUGGUUUCAUAUAUUCACUUAUUUUGCAAUGGUUUCAUCUAUUCUAAGAUGAAUAUUUUUUGGUACUCCCAAUGAACGAGUUGUUUGAAUGUUCACUUUACGCUCAUAAUGAACGAGUUGUUGAUGCAGUAGAAGAUUGAAGAAUAGGUGAAAUCGAAAGAAGCUGGAUUUCCUCGCCGAAUGGAGGGAGGUAGCAUCUCUAGACUUAAUUAUUCUGGUACUUUCAUGUCCAACUUUUUUUUUUUGGCUUUGGAUAUAGGGUUCUCAUAGUGUAAUACAAUACAAUUCUAUUUUUAAUAGUGUGUGUUUAUGAAAGUUUCUGAUAGCGUUUCUCUAGUCUGAUUCACUUGUAUGUUUAAGGGAUACACUCAUGGAUUAUGAUGACAAUGACUAUCAAAGAUAGAAUCUCAAUUUAGCUGGUGAAGGGAGUACCAAAUUGGGGGUAAUGGUUUUGUUUUGUGUGAUUCUGUUUUUUGAUUUCACUGAUUUUACUCUUUCGUUUUUGGGUUUUUGAUAAUCUAAUUGGAUAUGUGCGGUUCUAUAUCCUUUCUGGGAUUUUCUAGUUUUUGUGUUUAUGUGCAUCUAUUAUAACCAAACACCUCACAUUUUCCUCAAUAUUAUGAUAGCAAUAUUGUUGUGUAUUGUGGAAGUAAGGGUACAGUUGGAAAGUAAACUUGUUAGUCGUUUAGUAUAGAUCUCUUUUGAUGUGUUUUGGUUUUCUAGAAGUAUGUAUUUUGCUUCACUUUAUAUCAUUUCUCAACAAUAUCUUCGUAUCCAUUAUAAUAUAAGUAUAUUUUUAAAGAGUUGGGUGGAAAUUUGCAUUGUUGUCAAUACACCUCCAGAUGAAUAAAUAUCAACUUGUAGAUUUUAAAUGAUGUGUUCUGUUGAAAAAUGUAAAGAUAACUCUCCAAACCUUUUUUUAGUUUCUUGUCUUAUAAUACUUGGUUCCUGGAAGUUAUUUAUUUAGUAGUUCCAUUGGUAGGGUCCUAAGGUCGUCAUAGCAGGAAAAGUGAAAGGCAAAUUGAAGGUUACUCGCGCAUUUGGAGUUGGCUACUUAAAAAAGAAAAGUCUGAAUGAUGCUUUGAUGGGAAUCCUUAGAGUUCGCGACCUUACGAGCCCACCAUAUGUUUCCACUCAACCAUCACUAAAUGUCCAUAAAAUCUCAAACUCUGAUCAAUUUGUUAUAGUAGGGAGUGAUGGACUGUUCGACUUCUUCAGCAAUGAAGAGGUGGUGAAACUUGUUGAAUCUUACAUCUUAAGGAAUCCUUUUGGUGAUCCUGCAAAGUUUCUCAUUGAGCAACUUGUAGCUAGAGCAGCUGAUUCUGCAGGUUUUAGCAUGGAAGAGUUGAUGAAUAUUCCGGCCGGGAGGAGAAGAAAGUACCAUGAUGAUGUUACUGUAAUAGUGAUCAUGCUUGGGAUGAAUCAACGGACUUCAAAAGCUUCAACUUGCAUCUAAGACAGACUAGGAUAUGAUGCGGUUUUCAAUCUCGGCCGUUAAUAUGAGAUAUGACAGUUUAGAUUACACUGUAACAAAUUCUGCUUAAAAUCAACCUAGACCAUUAAUUUGAGAUCAGAGUCGAAAUCAAAACUGCGUGACACAUAUACUGCACCAAAUCCAAAUGCAUAUGAAAUUGUCCAAAGAUAACUUGUGUGUAAGCUUGUAUGUUAAGAUCCAGAAAGAUAGUGAAGUGAGACUAAAGAUAAUUGGGACUAGAGUGGACACAACUGAAAUUGUUUGCUUCGUUGUCCCACGGAUCUAAUGUUCAAGGACUUGAAACAACUGCGACAUUUGAUCCAAAAACGGACGAGUUUGUUAUUCACAGUCCCACGUUGACUUCCAGCAAACUUGUCACUGGAAUUGCACUUCCACAUGGAUCAAACAAACUUUAUUCUGGCAGCACCGAUGGGACACUUCGGACAUGGGACUGUGUUACUGGUCAAUGUACUAAUUUUGUUUGGCAAUAAAGAGUCUCUGUGAAUCUUCAGUGGUUUUUUGCUUUUCUAUGUUUGGGACCUAGACAAAUUUGAGUGUAAAAUGACACUCAAUGCGCAUACAGGAGAAGUCACAUCCCUUAUUUGUUGGGAAAAAUUCUUGCUAUCCGGUUCAUCAGACUGCACUAUCAAGGUCUGGUAUAAAACCGUCGAGGAUACAUGUGGAAAGCGGUUGGAUUCAAUUGGACUAGAGAACACCGAAGCUAACCGUCAAGUAUGGCGUAAAAUUAUAUAUGAAGAAAGUGUUAUGACUUGGUUAAAAUAUAAUUUUUAUGUGUAUGAUUUUAUAGUACUUGAAAUAUUAUGAAUGCACAUGAUUUUGUAUA